rnacentral:rRNA from 1 species
GGGGAAUAUUGCACAAUGGGGGAAACCCUGAUGCAGCAACGCCGCGUGAGCGAUGAAGGCCUUCGGGUUGUAAAGCUCUGUCUUCUCUGACGAUAAUGACGGUAAGAGAGGAGGAAGCCACGGCUAACUACGUGCCAGCAGCCGCGGUAAUACGUAGGUGGCAAGCGUUGUCCGGAAUUAUUGGGCGUAAAGGAUGCGUAGGCGGUCUUUUAAGUGGGAUGUGAAAUACCCGGGCUUAACCUGGGAAUGGCAUUCCAAACUGGAGGACUAGAGUGCAGGAGAGGAAAGUGGAAUUCCCAGUGUAGCGGUGAAAUGCGUAGAGAUUGGGAGGAACACCAGUGGCGAAGGCGACUUUCUGGACUGUAACUGACGCUGAGGCAUGAAAGCGUGGGGAGCAAAC